ACACAUGCAAGUCGAACGAGAAAGUGGAGCAAUCCAUGAGUACAGUGGCGUACGGGUGAGUAACACGUGACUAACCUACCCUCGAGUGGGGAAUAACUUCGGGAAACCGAGGCUAAUACCGCAUAACAUCUACGGAUCAAAUGCGCAAGCAGCUUGAGGAGGGGGUCGCGGCUGAUUAGCUAGUUGGCGGGGUAACGGCCCACCAAGGCAAUGAUCAGUAGCCGGCCUGAGAGGGCGCACGGCCACACUGGAACUGAAACACGGUCCAGACUCCUACGGGAGGCAGCAGUGGGGAAUUUUGCGCAAUGGGGGAAACCCUGACGCAGCAACGCCGCGUGGAGGAUGAAGCCCCUUGGGGUGUAAACUCCUUUCGAUCGGGACGAUUAUGACGGUACCGGAUGAAGAAGCACCGGCUAACUCUGUGCCAGCAGC
rnacentral:rRNA from 1 species